rnacentral:rRNA from 1 species
ACAAAGUGGAUUUGGAUUCCCGCUUAGUGGCGAAAGGGUGAGUAACACGUGGGUUAUCUACCUCAGAGACUGGAAUAACAAUUGGAAACGAUUGCUAAUGCCGGAUGAUAUAUAAAACGAUAUGUUGUUUUAUAUUAAAAGGAGCCUUUAAAGCUUCACUUUGAGAUGAGCCCGCGGCGUAUUAGCUAGUUGGUGAGGUAAUGGCCCACCAAGGCAACGAUGCGUAGCCGGCCUGAGAGGGUGAUCGGCCACAUUGGGACUGAGACACGGCCCAAACUCC